rnacentral:tRNA from 1 species
UUUAAUGUGGCAGAUUAGUGCAGUGAACUUAAAAUUCAAAAAUGAAUAAUUUAUUCUUUUAAAA